rnacentral:ncRNA from 1 species
AAGGAAGCCGGUGCGAUUCCGGCGCGGUCCCGCCACUGUCACCGGGGAGCGAUCCCCCCUCGUGAGCCACGACCGUCUGUGCGGUUGGAAGGCCGGGGGUGAGCGUCGAUCCGGGAGCCAGGAUACUU